UACGUAGGGUGCAAGCGUUGUCCGGAAUUAUUGGGCGUAAAGAGCUCGUAGGCGGUUUGUCGCGUCUGCUGUGAAAACCCGAGGCUCAACCUCGGGCCUGCAGUGGGUACGGGCAGACUAGAGUGCGGUAGGGGAGAUUGGAAUUCCUGGUGUAGCGGUGGAAUGCGCAGAUAUCAGGAGGAACACCGGUGGCGAAGGCGGUGAUCUGGGCCAGUACUGACGCUGAGGAGCGAAAGCGUGGGUAGCAAACAGG
rnacentral:rRNA from 1 species